CAAACACUGAAAAUAGCUCAAGAAUUCAAGAAGAUGUGGAAGAGAUCUGAUCAGGCAGCACAAGCUUCAGGGUAUCCUAGUGCAAAAUAUAUUCUCCCACCUGAGCACUGGGUCUUUCCAGUGACGAGCUAUUUGGCAGUGGGAUACCUUGAAGUUUGUAGCGACAAAUGUGAAGAUGUUGAAGAGCUCGCCACCAGGGGGUUUUCCUCAGCUCUCUCCUGACGCUCCACCUUGCAGAUGUGUCAGCACACACCUGCAGAUCAUCUGAUCAAUUCCAGGAGUAUAAGAGGAGCCUCCAGCCAACACUUCCACGCCAGAGUGUUGACCCUUGUGGUUUGAUCGAGCCCGGAAGCCGGAUCAAGUCCGGAACCAGUCAAGCCCGCUAGCAAGGAUCCGGAUCUCCUCGCCCUGGGGGUCCUGACGCGGCGAGCAUCAUCAAGUCGGCUUCCCUCCCCCUCUGCUUCCCCGAACAGACAUUCUUCGGAACCCAGCCCCAGCCCCGAUGCUUCUGACCUGCCUGCUGUUCAUGGUUUCUCCAGCUCGUACCCCAUUAUUUUGUUUGUAAAUAAAACCCUUAAUCUUCA